AUAGGACAACGCCAAACCCGCUGCAAGACAGUGACGGAAAGCCACGGGUCUGUAUAGAUAGGCGGGUUGCCGAA
rnacentral:ncRNA from 1 species